rnacentral:rRNA from 1 species
GAUGAACGCUGGCGGCGUGCCUAAUACAUGCAAGUCGAGCGAACGGACGAGAAGCUUGCUUCUCUGAUGUUAGCGGCGGACGGGUGAGUAACACGUGGAUAACCUACCUAUAAGACUGGGAUAACUUCGGGAAACCGGAGCUAAUACCGGAUAAUAUUUUGAACCGCAUGUUUCAAAAGUGAAAGACGGUCUUGCUGUCACUUAUAGAUGGAUCCGCGCUGCAUUAGCUAGUUGGUAAGGUAACGGCUUACCAAGGCAACGAUGCAUAGCCGACCUGAGAGGGUGAUCGGCCACACUGGAACUGAGACACGGUCCAGACUCCUACGGGAGGCAGCAGUAGGGAAUCUUCCGCAAUGGGCGAAAGCCUGACGGAGCAACGCCGCGUGAGUGAUGAAGGUCUUCGGAUCGUAAAACUCUGUUAUUAGGGAAGAACAUAUGUGUAAGUAACUGUGCACAUCUUGACGGUACCUAAUCAGAAAGCCACGGCUAACUACGUG